rnacentral:lncRNA from 10 species
GGGUAGUUUCUGUGAGGAAAUAUGGAUUGAACUGAAAUCUAAAGAGACAAGCAGGAGUUAACUAGAUGAGGAGGUGGGGGGUAGCAUCUGAGACAGAGUGAACAGCAUGUGUAAAGGCCACAUAGUGGAUAAACCAUGUGCCACUUGAGGAAUUGAGAAAAAGUCAGUGUGUUUAGAACAUAAGGAGAGGGGCAGAGAAAUGGAUCUGGUACAGGAGAAUCAAUGAGACCGGGUAAGAAACAGAAAAGGGGCUGCACCAAAUGAUUGACACGCUCUGCAAACUUCUUUUGUUGGCUCAAGUUGUGGCUCAAGAGGUGAGAAG